UUUAGGGAUCAUCGGAAAACUGAGCCUCUGACAGUUCUUUAUGUUUUUGCAGUUUCUGGCUUGAAUAACUGGUUUAAAUCCGUAAAGAAGUUAUUAUCCCUUUCUAUGUUCAGAGGAUUAAAUACACAAACCGGUAGAAGAAGGCAAACAAAGAGCUGCCAGAUAUGCUCAGAAAUAAAUCAGAGGUUAAAAUUCUGGUUUUAUGUUCGUGUCUGGAGCUGAAAUUUAAAUUCAACAAAUCUUCCUUCUGCAUCUGGAGACACACAAUGAAAGAAAUCAUUCCACCUGACCAGCAUAAAGAACACUAAUUUCAAGACAAUAACGUGGUUUGUUGGGGCAGAAUGUCCAAUUUCUUUCCCCUGUUGUGAUAAAAUAGAGUUUUUAAGCGUCCAGUCGUCCACAGACCAUCCAGCGGGACCACACUGAAUGCUAACCCGGCUAAUUACUUCCAGCCAGCCUCUCCUCUGACAAACACAGCAACAAUAUGAGUUGUCUCUCCUGUGAAUGCCAAGUACCCAGAGCUGAAUGAGAGCAUUUAUUACCCUUUUUAAUUAUCAAAUAGCAGGAUGUCUCUCUGAAUGCCGGUUCCCUGUAAACAACUUCUCCCUUCAAGCAAAGCACGCAGUAAUUAAACCCAAGAAGACGGCUAGCGAGGCCGGUACAGGAGAUAUUUACUGCUGUAUAGUGUGGCUUCACUUUGUUUGGCCAGCAGAGUAAAGAUGUGAUGUCAUAAUAACUGAGUGAGUCUGUAAAGUUGUGUUUGCUGUUUGCCGUGGAGGAUUUCCUCUCGGGAACGAAUCAGUUGCUGUAUGAUUACAGGGUUUAAACAGGUAAACGGAUCAGUCACAUUCGUGCCGUAUCAGUUCUGAAACCGGCUAUUUAAUCCUAAUGUACCGAUAAAUGAACGAUUUACAGACAGGCCUCAUGUUCAUCCUUCAUGCACCUUUACACACCUUUUUCAGACAAAAGUCACUCUAACGCGCCACACAUGAGAGGUUAAGUCGUCUUAUCUUAUGAUUAGAAUGACUUGGAGCUGUCUAAGUGGCAGCCAUGACGUUCAAAUAACUGCCUCAGUUCUCUAAAUGAUAAAGAAAGGAGCAGCACUUCUUCCUUUUUGAAACCUUUGUUAGCAUCAGAUGGUCCAUCCUUUAGGAGCAAAGGAAAACAGGUAAAGCAGUUCUAUAAAUCCUGGGAUUCAAAGUGAUGCACAUCCAAUAAUAUCUGCUGCUGUGUGAUUAGAUAUUGCUAAACCUCGCUGUAGUUGCUGUGGUUCACAUGUUUUCUGGACCUCAUGAUGUUUUCCAUCGAGGUUAAAGUGCAGCAGUAAUUAAGAGCCGUAAGAUGUUGUUUUUUACUGUUUUUACUGUUUUUACUGUGUUUGCUGCACUAAUAAAAGCCUCUUGGUACUUUAUUAUUUCAGCAGAAAGGUGGAAAUACCUCAUGAUCUGUUUAAACUGGUGUGUUCUGCUGUUGACUUGGUGAGAAUUAGCUGGUUAACUCAGUUUUCUAUGAGCAAGACUACAUGUCUGCAGCGGCCCUGUAAGACUUUAUGGAGGCGGAGCUGUGAGCUAAAAGCUAACUAUGUGCAGGUGAGCAGGUGAAGCAGGUGAACAGGUGGAACAGGUGAGCAGGUGAACAGGUGAACAGGUGAACAGGUGAGCAGGUGAACAGGUGAACAGGUGAACAGGUGAGCAGGUGAACAGGUGAACAGGUGAGCAGGUGAACAGGUGAACAGGUGAGCAGGUGAACAGGUGAACAGGUGAACAGGUGAGCAGGUGAACAGGUGAACAGGUGAACAGGUGAACAGGUGAGCAGGUGAACAGGUGAA